CUGUGUCACACUGCUGUCCCUGUGUCACUCUGUCCCUGUGUGUCACACUGUCCCUGUGUCACACUGCUGUCCCUGUGUGUCACUCUGUCCCUGUGUCACUCUGCUGUCCCUGUGUCACACUGUCCCUGUGUCACACUGUCCUCUGUGUCACACUGUCCCUGUGUGUCACACUGUCCCUGUGUCACACUGUCCCUGUGUGUCACACUGCUGUCCCUGUGUCACUCUGUCCCUGUGUCACUCUGUCGCUGUGUGUCACACUGUCCCUGUGUCACACUGCUGUCCCUGUGUCACACUGUCCCUGUGUCACACUGCUGUCCCUGUGUCACACUGCUGUCCCUGUGUGUCACGCUGUUCUCUGUGUCACACUGUCCCUGUGCCACACUGUCCCUGUGUCACGCUGUCCCUGUGUCACUCUGCUGUCCAUGUGUGUCCCCAGGGACCUGGCGGUGUCGCGGCCCCUGCGGGUGGAGCUGCCGCGCUCCAUGGCCGAGGUGGUGACAAACUGGAACCUGCCCAUGUCCCGCUGGCUGCACACCUGUGAGCACUGGGGACACUGGGGGGGACUGGGGACACUGGGGGGGGCCCUGAAGCCCAUACUGGUGUGAGUGGUGUCCCAUACUGGUGUGUCUCACUGGUAUCACUGGUGCACACCGGUGUCACUGGUGUAGCUGAUGUCACUAGUGUCCCUGAUGCCCCACACUGGUGUCCCUGGUGUCACUGGUGUAGCUGAUGUCCCUCAAUGGUGUCCCACACUGGUGUCACUGGUGUAGCUGAUGUCCCACACUGGUGUCCCACACUGGUGUCACUGGUGUCCCUGGUGCCCCACACUGGUGUCACUGGUGUAGCUGAUGUCCCUCACUGGUGCCCCACACUGGUGUCACUGGUGUCCCUGGUGCCCCACACUGGUGUCACUGGUGUAGCUGAUGUCCCUCACUGGUGUCNGCUCUCGUUCCACUUCAGCAAUUACUUCGUGGCCUUCCUGUCCGAGGCCACGGCCACGCUGGCAGGGUCAGGGCACAGCGAGCGCCACGAGCACCUGCACUGGUGAGGGACAAUGACAAUGUAUGUGACACUGUGUGACUGUGUGUGACAUGUGUGACUGUAUGUGACACUGUGUGUGAC
rnacentral:lncRNA from 1 species